UAGGAGAGUGGAGACCUGUAUGAG
rnacentral:misc_RNA from 1 species